CUACGGGUCGCUGCAGUGGGGAAUUUUGCGCAAUGGGCGAAAGCCUGACGCAGCAACGCCGCGUGAGUGAUGAAGGCCUUCGGGUCGUAAAGCUCUGUCAAGUGGGAAGAACCUAUGUAAUGUUAAUAUCAUUAUAUACUGACGGUACCACUGAAGGAAGCACCGGCUAACUCCGUGCCAGCAGCCGCGGUAAUACGGGGGGUGCAAGCGUUAUUCGGAAUCAUUGGGCGUAAAGGGCACGUAGGCGGCCUGGUAAGUCAGAUGUGAAAGCCCGGGGCUUAACCCCGGAAGUGCAUUUGAUACUGUCAGGCUUGAGUAUGGGAGAGGGAAGUGGAAUUCCUGGUGUAGAGGUGAAAUUCGUAGAUAUCAGGAGGAACACCGGUGGCGAAGGCGACUUCCUGGACCAAUACUGACGCUGAGGUGCGAAGGCGUGGGUAGCAAACAGGAUUAGAUACCCUCGUAGUC
rnacentral:rRNA from 1 species